GGAUCAGUAGGUCGGUCAUGCCACUGGUAUGUACUGAUCUUACUGAUUCCUCCUUCCUAAUGAAUCGCAAUGCCAUUAAUUUGGUGUUGCGGGGAGACUGGACUGUUACUUUGAAAAAUUAGAGUGUUUAAAGCAGGCUAACGCUUGAAUACAUUAGCAUGGAAUAAUGAAAUAGGACGUUCGGUCCUAUUUUGUUGGUUUCUAGGAUAGACGUAAUGAU
rnacentral:rRNA from 1 species